GACGAACGCUGGCGGCGUGCCUAAAACAUGCAAGUCGAACGGGGACUUCGGUCCCAGUGGCGAACGGCGGAGUAAUACAUAAGCAACGUGCCUUGAAGACUGGGAUAGUCGCGGGAAACUGCGGGUAAUACCGGAUGUGGUGACGGUGAGGCAUCUCAAAGUCAUUAAAUGGUUUUUCGCUUCAUGAGCGGCUUAUGGCCUAUCAGGUAGUUGGUGGGGUAAUGGCCUACCAAGCCGACGACGGGUAGCGGGUCUGAGAGGAUGACCCGCUCGAGUGGGACUGAGACACGGCCCACACACCUACGGGUGGCAGCAGUUGGGAAUCUUGCACAAUGGGGGAAACCCUGAUGCAGCGACGCCGCGUGGAGGAUGAAGGAUCUAGGUCUGUAAACUCCUUUUUCAGGGAAAGACUUAGGACGGUACCCUGAGAAUAAGCUCCGGCUAACUACGUGCCAGCAGCCGCGGUAAGACGUAGGGAGCAAGCGUUGUCCGGAUUUACUGGGCGUAAAGCGCGCGUAGGCGGUCUGUUAAGUGAGAAGUGAAAUCUCCAGGGCUCAACCCGGAAACUGCUUUUCAUACUGGCAGACUGGAGGAAUGCAGAGGUUUGUGGAAUUCCUGGUGUAGCGGUGAAAUGCGUUGAUAUCAGGAGGAACACCCAUGGCGAAGGCAGCAAACUGGGCAUUUCCUGACGCUGAGGUGCGAAAGCGUGGGUAGCAAACAGGAUUAGAUACCCUGGUAGUCCACGCCCUAAACGAUGGAUACUAGGCGUAAGAGGUAUCGACCCCUCUUGUGCCGCAGCUAACGCAUUAAGUAUCCCGCCUGGGGACUACGGCCGCAAGGUUGAAACUCAAAUGAAUUGACGGGACCCGCACAAGCGGUGGA
rnacentral:rRNA from 1 species